GGAGCCGUAGCGAAAGCGAGUUUUAACUGAGCGUUCAGUUACUUGACGUAGACCCGAAACCGGGCGACCUACCCAUGAGCAGGCUGAAGCGAAAGUAAAAUUUCGUGGAGGUCCGAACCCACGAGCGUUGAAAAGCUCGGGGAUGACUUGUGGGUAGCGGUGAAAUUCCAAUCGAGCCCGGAGAUAGCUGGUUCUCCCCGAAAUAGCUUUAGGGCUAGCCUCAAGGUGAGAGAUACGGAGGUAGAGCACUGAAUGUCCUAGGGGGUAUUGCACCUACCGAAGACUAUCAAACUCCGAAUGCCGUCAUCUUAUACUUGGGAGUCAGACUGUGGGUGAUAAGAUUCAUAGUCGAAAGGGCAACAGCCCAGAUCGUCAGCUAAGGUCCCUAAAUGUAAGUUAAGUGGUAAAGGAUGUGGGAUUGCACAGACAACCAGGAUGUUGGCUUAGAAGCAGCCACUCAUUCAAAGAGUGCGUAAUAGCUCACUGGUCGAGUGAUCCUGCGCCGAAGAUUUCCGGGGCUAAAACUUACUACCGAAGCUACGGCAUCAGUAAUGAUGGGUAGGGGAGCUUCCCAUACGGGUUGAAGCAUGACCGUAAGGACAUGUGGACAGUAUGGGAGUGAGAAUGUUGGCAUGAGUAGCGAGAUGUGGGUG
rnacentral:rRNA from 1 species